rnacentral:rRNA from 1 species
CAGAGGGGGCAAGCGUUAUUCGGAAUUAUUGGGCGUAAAGGGCGCGUAGGCGGCUUUGCAAGUGACGGGUGAAAUCCCUCGGCUUAACCGAGGAACUGCCUGUCAGACUGCAUGGCUUGAGACCAGGAGAGGUGAGUGGAAUUCCCAGUGUAGCGGUGAAAUGCGUAGAUAUUGGGAGGAACACCAGUGGCGAAGGCGGCUCACUGGACUGGUACUGACGCUGAGGCGCGAAAGCGUGGGGAGCAAACAGGAUUAGAUACCCUGGUAGUCCACGCCGUAAACGAUGAGUGCUUGGUGCAGCGGGUAUCGACUCCUGCUGUGCCGAAGUCAACACAUUAAGCACUCCGCCUGGGGGAGUACGGUCGCAAGACUG